rnacentral:sRNA from 1 species
CCUGCCGCCGGACGGUGCGGGUCGCGAGGGUUGGGGAGCCCGCUGACCGACCCACCACCGAGGACAGGCCGGGUACAUGGGAGCCCGCGCCGUUCCGCUCCGGCGAAGGAG